UUAAGCGACUAAGCGUACACGGUGGAUGCCCUGGCAGUCAGAGGCGAUGAAGGACGUGCUAAUCUGCGAUAAGCGUCGGUGAGGUGAUAUGAACCGUUAUAACCGGCGAUUUCCGAAUGGGGAAACCCAGUGUGUUUCGACACACUAUCAUUAACUGAAUCCAUAGGUUAAUGAGGCGAACCGGGGGAACUGAAACAUCUAAGUACCCCGAGGAAAAGAAAUCAACCGAGAUUCCCCCAGUAGCGGCGAGCGAACGGGGAGGAGCCCAGAGCCUGAAUCAGUGUGUGUGUUAGUGGAAGCGUCUGGAAAGGCGCGCGAUACAGGGUGACAGCCCCGUACACAAAAAUGCACAUAUUGUGAGCUCGAUGAGUAGGGCGGGACACGUGGUAUCCUGUCUGAAUAUGGGGGACCAUCCUCCAAGGCUAAAUACUCCCUGACUGACCGAUAGUGAACCAGUACCGUGAGGGAAAGGCGAAAAGAACCCCGGCGAGGGGAGUGAAAAAGAACCUGAAACCGUGUACGUACAAGCAGUGGGAGCCUCUUUAUGGGGUGACUGCGUACCUUUGUAUAAUGGGUCAGCGACUUAUAUUCUGUAGCAAGGUUAACCGAAUAGGGGGAGCCGAAGGGAAACCGAGUCUUAACUGGGCGUUAAGUUGCAGGGUAUAGACCCGAAACCCGGUGAUCUAGCCAUGGGCAGGUUGAAGGUUGGGUAACACUAACUGGAGGACCGAACCGACUAAUGUUGAAAAAUUAGCGGAUGACUUGUGGCUGGGGGUGAAAGGCCAAUCAAACCGGGAGAUAGCUGGUUCUCCCCGAAAGCUAUUUAGGUAGCGCCUCGUGAAUUCAUCUCCGGGGGUAGAGCACUGUUUCGGCAAGGGGGUCAUCCCGACUUACCAACCCGAUGCAAACUGCGAAUACCGGAGAAUGUUAUCACGGGAGACACACGGCGGGUGCUAACGUCCGUCGUGAAGAGGGAAACAACCCAGACCGCCAGCUAAGGUCCCAAAGUCAUGGUUAAGUGGGAAACGAUGUGGGAAGGCCCAGACAGCCAGGAUGUUGGCUUAGAAGCAGCCAUCAUUUAAAGAAAGCGUAAUAGCUCACUGGUCGAGUCGGCCUGCGCGGAAGAUGUAACGGGGCUAAACCAUGCACCGAAGCUGCGGCAGCGACACUAUGUGUUGUUGGGUAGGGGGAGCGUUCUGUAAGCCUGUGAAGGUGGCCUGUGAGGGUUGCUGGAGGUAUCAGAAGUGCGAAUGCUGACAUAAGUAACGAUAAAGCGGGUGAAAAGCCCGCUCGCCGGAAGACCAAGGGUUCCUGUCCAACGUUAAUCGGGGCAGGGUGAGUCGACCCCUAAGGCGAGGCCGAAAGGCGUAGUCGAUGGGAAACAGGUUAAUAUUCCUGUACUUGGUGUUACUGCGAAGGGGGGACGGAGAAGGCUAUGUUGGCCGGGCGACGGUUGUCCCGGUUUAAGCGUGUAGGCUGGUUUUCCAGGCAAAUCCGGAAAACCAAGGCUGAGGCGUGAUGACGAGGCACUACGGUGCUGAAGCGACAAAUGCCCUGCUUCCGAGGAAAAGCCUCUAAGCAUCAGGUAACAUCAAAUCGUACCCCAAACCGACACAGGUGGUCAGGUAGAGAAUACCAAGGCGCUUGAGAGAACUCGGGUGAAGGAACUAGGCAAAAUGGUGCCGUAACUUCGGGAGAAGGCACGCUGAUAUGUAGGUGAAGCGACUUGCUCGUGGAGCUGAAAUCAGUCGAAGAUACCAGCUGGCUGCAACUGUUUAUUAAAAACACAGCACUGUGCAAACACGAAAGUGGACGUAUACGGUGUGACGCCUGCCCGGUGCCGGAAGGUUAAUUGAUGGGGUUAGCGGUAACGCGAAGCUCUUGAUCGAAGCCCCGGUAAACGGCGGCCGUAACUAUAACGGUCCUAAGGUAGCGAAAUUCCUUGUCGGGUAAGUUCCGACCUGCACGAAUGGCGUAAUGAUGGCCGGGGCUGUCUCCACCCGAGACUCAGUGAAAUUGAACUCGCUGUGAAGAUGCAGUGUACCCGCGGCAAGACGGAAAGACCCCGUGAACCUUUACUAUAGCUUGACACUGAACAUUGAGCCUUGAUGUGUAGGAUAGGUGGGAGGCUUUGAAGUGUGGACGCCAGUCUGCAUGGAGCCGACCUUGAAAUACCACCCUUUAAUGUUUGAUGUUCUAACGUUGGCCCGUAAUCCGGGUUGCGGACAGUGUCUGGUGGGUAGUUUGACUGGGGCGGUCUCCUCCUAAAGAGUAACGGAGGAGCACGAAGGUUGGCUAAUCCGGUCGGACAUCAGGAGGUUAGUGCAAUGGCAUAAGCCAGCUUGACUGCGAGCGUGACGGCGCGAGCAGGUGCGAAAGCAGGUCAUAGUGAUCCGGUGGUUCUGAAUGGAAGGGCCAUCGCUCAACGGAUAAAAGGUACUCCGGGGAUAACAGGCUGAUACCGCCCAAGAGUUCAUAUCGACGGCGGUGUUUGGCACCUCGAUGUCGGCUCAUCACAUCCUGGGGCUGAAGUAGGUCCCAAGGGUAUGGCUGUUCGCCAUUUAAAGUGGUACGCGAGCUGGGUUUAGAACGUCGUGAGACAGUUCGGUCCCUAUCUGCCGUGGGCGCUGGAGAACUGAGGGGGCUGCUCCUAGUACGAGAGGACCGGAGUGGACGCAUCACUGGUGUUCGGGUUGUCAUGCCAAUGGCACUGCCCGGUAGCUAAAUGCGGAAGAGAUAAGUGCUGAAAGCAUCUAAGCACGAAACUUGCCCCGAGAUGAGUUCUCCCUGAGACUUAGAGUCUCCUGAAGGAACGUUGAAGACGACGACGUUGAUAGGCCGGGUGUGUAAGCGCAGCGAUGCGUUGAGCUAACCGGUACUAAUGAACCGUGAGGCUUAACCUU
rnacentral:rRNA from 1 species